UACGGGGGGGGCAAGCGUUGUUCGGAAUUACUGGGCGUAAAGGGCUCGUAGGCGGCCAACUAAGUCAGACGUGAAAUCCCCAGGCUCAACCUGGGAACUGCGUCUGAUACUGGAUGGCUUGAAUUCGGGAGAGGGAUGCAGAAUUCCAGGUGUAGCGGUGAAAUGCGUAGAUAUCCGGAGGAAUACCGGUGGCGAAGGCGGGUCUCUGGGCCGACACUGACGCUGAGGAGCGAAAGCGUGGGGAGCGAACAGG
rnacentral:rRNA from 1 species